AACGAACGCUGGCGGCGCGCCUAACACAUGCAAGUCGAACGAGAAGGCGUAGCAAUACGCUUGUAGAGUGGCGAACGGGUGAGUAAUACGUGGGUGACCUACCCUCGAGUGGGGAAUAACCCGCCGAAGGCGGGCUAAUGCCGCGUACGCUUCCGUCCUCACGGGGACGGAAGGAAAGCUGUACCGUGGGUACGGCGCUCAAGGAUGGGCUCACGUCCUAUCAGCUUGUUGGUAGGGUAACGGCCACCAAGGCUACGACGGGUAGCUGGUCUGAGAGGACGAUCAGCCACACUGGCACUGCGACACGGGCCAGACUCCUACGGGAGGCAGCAGUGAGGAAUAUUGCGCAAUGGGCGAAAGCCUGACGCAGCGACGCCGCGU
rnacentral:rRNA from 1 species